rnacentral:rRNA from 1 species
UACGGGGGGGGCAAGCGUUGUUCGGAAUUACUGGGCGUAAAGGGCGCGUAGGCGGCCUUCUAAGUCAGACGUGAAACCCCUCGGCUCAACCGAGGAACUGCGUCUGAUACUGGAAGGCUUGAAUCCGGGAGAGGGAUGUGGAAUUCCAGGUGUAGCGGUGAAAUGCGUAGAUAUCUGGAGGAACACCGGUGGCGAAGGCGGCAUCCUGGACCGGUAUUGACGCUGAGGCGCGAAAGCUAGGGGAGCAAACGGG